UGCCUCCACUCUUUUUUACUUCACUAGUAAAUACUCGCUCGUUUCAAAAUAUAUACUCUUCUUCUUAAUGCGUCGCGUCUCUCAAUCCAAUUGCAUCGCUUUGUUAUUCUUCUUCUUAAUGCGUCGCGUCUCUGAUUUUUAUUUUGUUUCUUCGUCUCUUGUUUCAGGUGUGUUUUGAAAGCAAAGUUUAUUAUCUGAUUAUCAUCGCUCCCCCGGCUUCUAGGGUGCUUUUUGGAAGCGUGGCUUUCGUCUCUGAAAUCGCAACUUCUUCUAGGUAUUGAUCGAUCGGUGAUUGAGGAUGAGGGUACUAAGAUCUCUCCCUGAUGGUUUGAUUGAGGAUGAGGGUCUUCUUUUGGAAUUACUCCUGAACAGUAAGGAUUACAAUAGUGAUGGUUUGAUUGAGUUGCUGUCAGUGACUACAAACCUCUUCACGUCGAAGAGCUGGUGAGAUAUUUUGGAAUUACUUCUGAACAACAUGGAUUACAACAAGCAUCGCGAUAUGGAGGGGCCUCAAGGAUUGUCAUAAUUUCUCAGGACUAGCAGAGAAAGGCACCAGUGGAGAUGAUGAUGAUGAUGACUUGCUGAACCGCAAGACCGUUUCAUGAUGAUGACUCUUGUGUUGAUUGCUGCACAGGUGACAAGAGGUGGAAGACGAGUGGAAAUUUCAAUCUAUUACAUUGUGUUUCAGCUGAUUUGUGGCCGGGCUCUUGGAUUGCCACUAGAGCGGCCAAAGAGUGUAAACAUAGAUGUCCUCCAAAAGGUGAAACUUCUUCGGGCUCUAUAAGCUCCUAUCUAAACCACCAGAGGAUUAUCUUGGCAGCUUCUCGUCCAAUGCCUGGGGGAUCACAGGUGGUGGUUAUGCAACUUCUGCUUUUUCAGGCUGUUAUUAUUCUUGGAUGGUUUGAAGAAUAAGAAGAUUCUAUAGGAAGCUGGUGAUAUGUACUUUGCUGAGGUCACUCGAGACUGUGAUGGAAACCAUGGUGUCUUCGACUACACCAAUUAUGAUGACUUGAAGUAUGCUUUGUUUGCUCUGGUGUGCAGGCUCAUCCACUGGAUUCACAUACGUCAUUUGUGUGAUUUCAUUCUCUUGUGCUGUCCGUUUUAAGAAUGAGAAAUGCCCGACCAAUGUACUACAAGUGAGACCUUCCUUGCAACAGUGUUUUUUAAUCUUCUUCUUUUACUUUAUAAGCUUCAUGUCGUGGUCUAACAACUUUCUGGUAGGUCAAGCAUCUUACUUAGGCCUUUUAUAUAACUUAGAUUUUUUAAUAUAGCUACCUUUUUUUUCUCUUUUUUAAUUUCCAAAUUUAGCACCAUAACUAAAGGGUGGUUUUCUUAAUAUAGCCCUUAUCUUUCAACUAAUUUGUUGGCUGCAUCUACGAUUUAGGUCAUGUACAAAUUACAAUACAGCAUUCAAAUGUAGAUGUAUGAAUUUUAAUUUUGAUUGCUUCAAGUUUGGGAAAAAAUGGUUGCAAAUGAUCAGAAUAAGGUUUAUGUGCUGUUAUAUAUGAAGCUUAACAUGUAGAUGUGUGAAUGUGUUUUUAACUCUGUCUUCCUUUUGAUGAUACUCAGAAGGAAGUGAUUUCAUAAACAUAUAUAAACGCUGAUAUUACGGUUUAUCAAUUGGCUAUGAAUAAACAUAUACAAUAUCUUUGUUUAGUCUUUGUUGUAGUCCGGGGUGCAGGAGAGGUAUGUAACAGUUACUCUUACUUCACAUAAUUUUACUUUGGCAUAUAUAGUGGAAAAUAUGUUGGUGGCUGUACUAGUUCUAGCACCUUCUAGGACAUUAUUCCAUCCGGUUGAUCACGGUUAUCCAGGAGAAAAGGUAACAAGACUCCCUGGACCAAGACUAGGUGCGAGUGAGAUUAUACUCUGGGUAUGUUUGUCCACCUCUAGUUCUUGUAGAUGAAACCUGAGUACUUAUAUGGUAUUU